GAGUUUGAUCCUGGCUCAGGAUGAACGCUAGCUACAGGCUUAACACAUGCAAGUCGAGGGGAAACGAUGAGAGAACUUGCUCUCUUAGGCGUCGACCGGCGCACGGGUGAGUAACGCGUAUCCAACCUGCCCAUUACAGGGGAAUAACCUUGCGAAAGUAAGACUAAUGCCCCAUGGUAUUCUCAGCAGACAUCUAAUGAGGAUUAAAGAUUUAUCGGUAAUGGAUGGGGAUGCGUCUGAUUAGCUUGUUGGCGGGGUAACGGCCCACCAAGGCAACGAUCAGUAGGGGUUCUGAGAGGAAGGUCCCCCACAUUGGAACUGAGACACGGUCCAAACUCCUACGGGAGGCAGCAGUGAGGAAUAUUGGUCAAUGGACGAGAGUCUGAACCAGCCAAGUAGCGUGCAGGAUGACGGCCCUAUGGGUUGUAAACUGCUUUUAUAGGGGAAUAAAGUGGACUACGUGUAGUUUAUUGUAUGUACCCUAUGAAUAAGGACCGGCUAAUUCCGUGCCAGCAGCCGCGGUAAUACGGAAGGUUCGGGCGUUAUCCGGAUUUAUUGGGUUUAAAGGGAGCGUAGGCCGUAGAUUAAGCGUGUUGUGAAAUGUAGAUGCUCAACAUCUGACUUGCAGCGCGAACUGGUUUACUAGAGUGUGCACAACGUAGGCGGAAUUCGUCGUGUAGCGGUGAAAUGCUUAGAUAUGACGAAGAACUCCGAUUGCGAAGGCAGCUUACGGGAGCACAACUGACGCUGAAGCUCGAAGGUGCGGGUAUCAAACAGGAUUAGAUACCCUGGUAGUCCGCACAGUAAACGCUGGAUGCCCGCUGUUGGCUCAUUAGAGUCAGCGGCCCAAGCGAAAGCAUUAAGCAUCCCACCUGGGGAAGUACGCCGGCACGGGUGAAAACUCAAAGGAAUGGACGGGGGCCCGCACAAGGCGGAGGAACAUGUGGUUUAAUUCGAUGAUACGCGAGGAACCUACCCCGGGCUGAAUUGCAGACGCACGCGGCAGAGAUGCCAAGGCCCUUCGGAGCGUCUGUGAAGGUGCUGCAUGGUGGUCGUCAGCUCGUGCCGUGAGGUGUCGGCUUAAGUGCCAUAACGAGCGCAACCCCUUUUCUUAGUUGCCAUCAGGUCAUGCUGGGCACUCUGGGAAUACUGCCACCGUAAGGUGUGAGGAAGGUGGGGAUGACGUCAAAUCAGCACGGCCCUUACGUCCGGGGCUACACACGUGUUACAAUGGCCGGUACAGAGGGCAGGUUGCAUGUAAAUGCGAUCGAAUCUUAAAAGCCGGUCCCAGUUCGGACUGAGGUCUGCAACCCGACCUCACGAAGCUGGAUUCGCUAGUAAUCGCGCAUCAGCCAUGGCGCGGUGAAUACGUUCCCGGGCCUUGACACACCGCCCGUCA
rnacentral:rRNA from 1 species